rnacentral:rRNA from 1 species
GUGGGGAAUCUUCCGCAAUGGACGAAAGUCUGACGGAGCAACGCCGCGUGAACGAUGACGGCCUUCGGGUUGUAAAGUUCUGUUAUACGGGAAGAAUGGUACGACGGCCAAUACCCGUCGUAAGUGACGGUACCGUAAGAGAAAGCCACGGCUAACUACGUGCCAGCAGCCGCGGUAAUACGUAGGUGGCAAGCGUUGUCCGGAAUUAUUGGGCGUAAAGGGCGCGCAGGCGGCGUCGUAAGUCGGUCUUAAAAGUGAGGGGCUUAACCCCGUGAGGGGACCGAAACUGCGAUGCUAGAGUAUCGGAGAGGAAAGCGGAAUUCCUAGUGUAGCGGUGAAAUGCGUAGAUAUUAGGAGGAACACCAGUGGCGAAAGCGGCUUUCUGGACGACAACUGACGCUGAGGCGCGAAAGCCAGGGGAGCAAACGGGAUUAGAUACCCCGGUAGUCC